rnacentral:rRNA from 1 species
GUAGGGUGCAAGCGUUAUCCGGGAAUCAUUGGGCGUAAAGAGCUCGUAGGCGGUUCAGCAAGUCGGCUGUGAAAUCCCGAGGGCUUAACCUCGGAACUGCAGUCGAUACUGCUGUGACUAGAGUCCGGUAGAGGAGAAUGGAAUUCCCGGUGUAGCGGUGAAAUGCGCAGAUAUCGGGAGGAACACCAGUAGCGAAGGCGGUUCUCUGGGCCGGUACUGACGCUGAGGAGCGAAAGCGUGGGUAGCAAACAGGAUCAGAUACCCUGGUAGUCCACGCCGUAAACGUUGGACACUAGGUGUGGCGUUCCGACCAACGGGUGCCGUGCCGAAGCUAACGCAUUAAGUGUCCCGCCUGGGGAGUACGGCCGCAAGGCUA